rnacentral:rRNA from 1 species
GACAGAGGGUGCAAACGUUGUUCGGAAUUACUGGGCGUAAAGCGCGUGUAGGCGGCUAAGUAAGUCGGGCGUGAAAUCCCACGGCUCAACCGUGGAAGUGCACUCGAAACUGCAUAGCUAGAGUCCUGGAGAGGAAGGUGGAAUGCUUGGUGUAGAGGUGAAAUUCGUAGAUAUCAAGCGGAACACCGGUGGCGAAGGCGGCCUUCUGGACAGUGACUGACGCUGAGACGCGAAAGUGUGGGGAGCAAACAGG